AGUGAACGCUGGCGGCGUGCCUAAUACAUGCAAGUCGAACGGAGUGGCGCACGGGUGAGUAAUGUAUAGCUAAUCUGCCCUACACUAGAGGACAACAGUUGGAAACGACUGCUAAUACUCUAUAGUGUAGGAUGAGGCUAUAUUGUAUCAGCUAGUUGGUGAGGUAAGGGCUCACGAAGGCUAUGACGCAUAACUGGUCUGAGAGGAUGAGCAGUCACGCUCGAAGUGAGACGCGGUGCAGACGCCGACGGGAGGCAGCAGUAGGGAAUAUUGCUCAAUGGGGGGAACGCUGAGGCGGCAACGGCGCGUGGGGGAUGACACUUUUCGGAGCGUAAACUCCUUUUGUUAGGGAAGCGGUACCUAACGAAUAAGCACCGGCUAACUCCGUGCCAGCAGCCGCGGUAAUAC
rnacentral:rRNA from 1 species